UACGGGGGGAGCAAGCGUUGUUCGGAUUUACUGGGCGUAAAGGGCGCGUAGGCGGUCAGCACAAGUCAGUUGUGAAAUCUCCGGGCUUAACCCGGAAAGGUCAACUGAUACUGCGGGGCUAGAGUGCGGAAGGGGCAACUGGAAUUCUCGGUGUAGCGGUGAAAUGCGUAGAUAUCGAGAGGAACACCUGUGGCGAAGGCGGGUAGCUGGGCCGACACUGACGCUGAGGCGCGAAAGCUAGGGGAGCGAACGGG
rnacentral:rRNA from 1 species